ensembl:rRNA 5S_rRNA 5S ribosomal RNA
UCUUACGGCCACACCAGUGUGAAUGCGCCUGAUCUCGUCUGAUCUCGGAAUUUAAACACGCUUGUGCUCGGCCAGUACUUGGAUUUGAAAUCGCCUGAGAACCCCCAGUGCUAUAAGCU